rnacentral:lncRNA from 1 species
CAGAGCCUAAAAAUCAUUACUCAAUAGUGUGGCACAUUUGUUCUCAAAUUAUUGACUACACAUUCUGGUCUACUGAGCAAUUAUAGAUAGGACUGGAACAAGGCUACUCAAAAUCAGAGCAAAUGUUAAAUUACAAGGAAGAAGUUACGGAUGCAGGGAGAUCAGUGCAUUUUGUGGUGGCAAUAUUAUAUUCUUAAGUGAUUCUCAUAACUUUUAAAAUGAAAUCAGCAAGUACAUAAUUUGUACGGCAGGCAAAGCUAUUAGGAAGGUGGAGAAAAGUGGGGAAAUAAUCUGUAUAGAGUGUGCAGAAACCAGUUGUCCUGCACCAGAACUCCAAGAUACUUUCUAGCUGCUUUCUGGAAAUUUAAGGCUAGAUUUAAAGGGAGAUAAAGCUACAGAAUAAUCUUCUAUUUUUUCUCCAUCAACUAGAAGACACCCAGAAAUUAGAAUUAUGUUUAGGUUUGGGGCUUUGCAAAAUAAAGUAUUAUAGAAUUAAGCAUGAGGCUUAAAGAUAAUUUAUAAGGAAAAGAGAGUUUACUAAUUCACCAUGAAAUCUGAGUCAAGCUAUGAAGGAAACAGGAAAAAACAUGGAAGAAGAAUGUUGGUGAAUGGAUUAGGAGUCUCAAUGAGUCAAAAAAAAUAUUUACAGUGAAUGAAACAAAGCUGAAAAGAUGGGGAGGUCAAGUUAGAAAGUGAGAGGCAGAAGUGGAGUAUGAUCAGUAUAACAGUGAGAGUAUGAUCCUCAAGUGUAUAAUCCCUGUUGCAUGACUUUUGAAGUCACCAAUAGCUAUAAAUGUUGAAUAAGAACAUGUCACUGUGACCUAGGGAUUUCUGCUUUCCCCAAAUCAUCAUUUAGCAUACAUGUUAUAUAUCAGCAAUUUGAAAAGUCACCUAAAUUCCUUCUCUAAUAGAUUUCUCAUAGUUUGACAUGUUGAGAACAACCUCAUUACAUAAUAUCAAAGUUAAUUUUACAAUGUUU